GUAAUGUUCUAUAAAGGCUGAGACUCAACUCGUUUGUUGGGCUCUUAACUCUGCUCUGUUGUUGAGUGGAUUGUUAACCAGCUCCAGAUUUGCAAAUCUUCUAAUAAAAAUCUGCCGUCUCUCUUCCUUUUGAUUAGAAAUUCCACAACAAUUCUUGUCGAUGAGGAUGGGAUCGCUAACUCUGUUCGCUGAUCGCUCCUGGGACUCCAAGGUUAACUACAUGCAGGGGCUGCAUUAGAUGUGGCUUGGGGAGCCCACACUCCGCCUGAGUGGAGCAGAAGGGACCCGCCUCGGACCCUCCAGGCAGCGUCAGUGGACAGAUACGCCAUUCCGAACAAUAAAAUGAAGGUUGAGACUGACGUCUCUAAAGUGCAUGUUAAAAUAUAGAUAUUGUUAUAGUCACAGAAGACUACUGUGUGUAGAGGAAAAUUCACCGUGUGUGAGUUUCACUGUGUGUGAGUUUCACUGUGUGUGAAGAAAACCUUGUCUUGGUGACAAGGAGGGCUCUACUGUGUGUGGAAGAGAAUUCAUUGUGUGCGAGUUUCACUGUGUGUGAGUUUCACUGUGUGUGAGUUUCACUGUGUGUGAAGAAGACCUUGUCUUACUGACAAGGAGGGCUCUACUGUGUGUGAAGAAAACCUUGUCUUAGUGACAAGGAGGGCUCUACUGUGUGUGAAGAAAACCUUGUCUUAGUGACAAGGAGGGCUCUACUGUGUGUGGAGAAAACCCUGCUUUAUAACACAUUAUUUGGCAAAGUACUAAAUUAAUAUGAAUUGAUAUGCCAUGGUUUGUAAUGGUCAGUAAUGCUCAGAGCCAUGAGUUAUGUGAUUCCAGGACAGGGUCCUGAGAUAGAAGUAAGAAACUAUUCCUGCAGGUUAGCACAUUAUUUUGGAAGGAGCAAUUUGAUCAAUGGAGCCGUAGGUGAAUUGGUUAUACUUGGGAUAAUACACAUACAACAUUUUGUAUAGGGGGAAAUACUGUAUGGGUACAGAAUUCUAAAUUACAUAAAGAACUUACAAAAUAUUUUGAUGGCGAAGAAACAACCCCUUUUGAGUUAACCUAUGAUGCAUUUAUUUUUGAGUUAACCCAUAUUUCAUUUGAAGAAAGAAUGAGGUCCCUAACUAACUAUUGCUUGUUUUGUGUGUUUGUUUUUGAGUGUGUGUGUAUAGAUGGAGUUUCCAAAUGGGAGCCAAAAGCAGCAGGGGAGAACCCUGUCGGCUCAACCCGCAGACUGGACCAGGUGAAGCCCCUGCCCUUGUUGUCCAACAACGGUCUGCUCAGCCACCCCUCCCGCCGCAGCUCUACCCCCAACAAGACCUGAUAGGCCUGCAGGACCAUCAGACCCCUCAGAGGCAGCCCCAGAGCAGUAGGAACCAUUCUACACAUCACCUACAAUGACUCCCGUUUCACUGGAGGACUACAGGCAAAGAUUGGAGAACUGUUUCCGCAAACACAGUGGUAUCAGACCAGCAACCGAUGACUACAACAGCCUCGACACCAGCGUUCCUAAAAGUUUCUAAGAAAAAAAAGCUGGAGCUUGGGUCUAAAACUGUUAAGUAUCUAGGACAUGAUAUUACACCAAAUGGUGUCUCAAUCCGUUAAGUAUCUAGGACAUGAUAUUACACCAAAUGGUGUCUCAAUCCGUUAAGUAUCUAGGACAUGAUAUUAUACCAAAUGGUGUCUCAAUCCGUUAAGUAUCUAGGACAUGAUAUUACACCAAAUGGUGUCAAUCCGUUAAGUAUCUAGGACAUGAUAUUACACCAAAUGGUGUCUCAAUCCGUUAAGUAUCUAGGACAUGAUAUUACACCAAAUGGUGUCUCAAUCCGUUAAGUAUCUAGGACAUGAUAUUACACCAAAUGGUGUCUCAAUCCGUUAAGUAUCUAGGACAUGAUAUUAUACCAAAUGGUGUCAAUCCGUUAAGUAUCUAGGACAUGAUAUUACACCAAAUGGUGUCUCAAUCCGUUAAGUAUCUAGGACAUGAUAUUACACCAAAUGGUGUCAAUCCGUUAAGUAUCUAGGACAUGAUAUUACACCAAAUGGUGUCAAUCCGUUAAGUAUCUAGGACAUGAUAUUACACCAAAUGGUGUCUCAAUCCGUUAAGUAUCUAGGACAUGAUAUUACACCAAAUGGUGUCUCAAUCCGUUAAGUAUCUAGGACAUGAUAUUACACCAAAUGGUGUCUCAAUCCGUUAAGUAUCUAGGACACGAUAUUACACCAAAUGGUGUCAAUCCGUUAAGUAUCUAGGACAUGAUAUUACACCAAAUGGUGUCUCAAUCCGUUAAGUAUCUAGGACAUGAUAUUACACCAAAUGGUGUCUCAAUCCGUUAAGUAUCUAGGACAUGAUAUUACACCAAAUGGUGUCUCAAUCCGUUAAGUAUCUAGGACAUGAUAUUAUACCAAAUGGUGUCUCAAUCCGUUAAGUAUCUAGGACAUGAUAUUACACCAAAUGGUGUCUCAAUCCGUUAAGUAUCUAGGACAUGAUAUUACACCAAAUGGUGUCUCAAUCCGUUAAGUAUCUAGGACAUGAUAUUACACCAAAUGGUGUCUCAAUCCGUUAAGUAUCUAGGACAUGAUAUUACACUUUGGCAUGAAAUUGGCUCUAGAGCGUGUGGCUGUGAUUCUAUCUGUACCACAGCCAGUACCACAGCCAGUUACAAAACGACAUAUGUUGACACUCACAGGAAUGGCAGGCUAUUGUCGAGCCUGGCUGCCUGAAUAUGCUGAGGUUGUACAGCCACUCUCUGACCACAAGGUGGCAAUGAAUGACAAGAUACAGUGGAAUCCAGGGGGACUCAAGGAGAACCAUUAGUGGUUUCUGCAAUGACUACGGUAGCCACUACUCUAGAGAGUGCUAAAUUACCACCACAUCUAUCAGCCCAAGCUGUAUAAUUGUUUGCGCUCACUAGAGGAUGCAUUUUGGCUUUGGAAUUGAAUUCAAGGGAACAAAAUGUAAUAAAAAAAUAUGUCUGGAAUUAGUUAACUGCUUGAUCUAAGAGUUGACUGCUGUUAAGAAAUGUAACUGUUAAAGAACUAAACAAAUAAAGAGGUCUAUCCCAUGAAUUAAUGUGUGGACGCACACAAUAACAGAAUGAUUGUGAAUAAAUGAUUGCAUAAU